rnacentral:rRNA from 1 species
UACAGAGGUCUCAAGCGAUGUUCGGAUUCAUUGGGCGUAAAGGGUGCGUAGGCGGCGCGGUAAGUCGGGUGUGAAAUCUCGGAGCUUAACUCCGAAACUGCAUUCGAUACUGCCGUGCUUGAGGACUGGAGAGGAGACUGGAAUUUACGGUGUAGCGGUGAAAUGCGUAGAUAUCGUAAGGAAGACCAGUGGCGAAGGCGGGUCUCUGGACAGUUCCUGACGCUGAGGCACGAAGGUCAGGGGAGCAAACGGG